GUCAACAACAACAGCAACUUGCUGCAGAAUAAAUAAUUUAAGCUAACUUAAAAAAAAAGCACUUUCACUUUUGAUAGAACGCCCACCUGUUGCUGGGUUGGCAAGAGACCACUGGCAGGAAAUUCAAGCUUGUGGAUGUCUGACCACCAGGGACUUAAAUGCACCCGAACUCUCACAGUAGGCAGUAAAAGAAUGCUGCCGGUGUUGAAGGGACUUGCGUGAUUGCUGUGAUUUAGUGGGACGGGGGAGGAGCUUAAUGCUGUUGGGCGGGCAACUGAAAAUGCUCCUGCUGCCUCGGUGCGUAUGUUUCUCGGCGUCUACUGGUUCAGUUACUGUGGAUAGCUAGUUGGUAACGCACAAUAAUAGUAUGUUUUUAAAGAUGUUUAUGAGAAGUUACCUGUGUCACAAGUUCAAGUGUUAAUUCACUGCAGAAAGAGGGCGGCUGGAAGGUUUGCAUUCGAAAGGACGGCAGAACUCCUUCACCACCCUUCCAACCCACCGGCUUUGUUGUAAAUAGGUUCAACUUUCUUUUUGCUCUGAAGGCUCAGUAUUGAAUUCCUUUUAUGCUGUUGAAAAUCAAGUAUUAUUGAAUUACAAGACUUGCUUUUUCCCAUGAAAGUUGGAUUUUCUAUUUUGAAAUAGAACCAAGCCAACCACUGACAAAAUGUUUUUUUGCGGGGAGGAUUGAUGUAGAAUAAACAGAAGUAAGAAU
rnacentral:lncRNA from 1 species